CCACUCCUCUUUCUCUUUCUUAAUCCAUCUUCUACUUUUCUCUCAACCCUAACCCCCAACAACUCUCUCCCUUCUCAGCCUCAAAAGUUCUCGAUCUACUCCGCGCUCGAAGAAUUUGCCGCAAUUAUAAGAAUUACAACAAGCUGUAAACAAAAUUCAAACAUUUUGAGUUAAUGAAUUUUUGUUCCAGAUCGAUCUAACAAAACAAAAUUCUUUGCCGAAAAUUCCAUCUCGAUUUUAAGGUAUAGCUGGAGAUAUAUGCUUUAACCAUCUUAUCAAGGUACUUUGCAACAUUUGAGACUUUUUUGGCGAGAUUUGCUAUUGUGUGGCAAUUAGGUUUCCUGGCUUCAAAUUAUUCAUGUACUUCCGCUCUUGUGUGAACUUUUGGAUGAGUAUGGAAGGAAACCGCUUCUCUGUUUGACCAUGUCUACUUCCAUUUUCCUAUUGAUCGUCCAACGUGAUAAGGAGCAAGAUGAGAAUGAAGGAAAAGACCCACUUGAGUUUCAUAUAAGCUACUACUACCACUAUUAUAGAUCCUGGUUUUUCUAGGUUUUAGUUAUUCUGUUUAGUAGAUACAAUUUGUAUUUUUGAUGAU